UGGGGAAUUUUGGACAAUGGGCGAAAGCCUGAUCCAGCAAUGCCGCGUGUGUGAAGAAGGCCUUCGGGUUGUAAAGCACUUUUGUCCGGAAAGAAAUCCUUGGCUCUAAUACAGUCGGGGGAUGACGGUACCGGAAGAAUAAGCACCGGCUAACUACGUGCCAGCAGCCGCGGUAAUACGUAGGGUGCAAGCGUUAAUCGGAAUUACUGGGCGUAAAGCGUGCGCAGGCGGUUUGCUAAGACCGAUGUGAAAUCCCCGGGCUCAACCUGGGAACUGCAUUGGUGACUGGCAGGCUAGAGUAUGGCAGAGGGGGGUAGAAUUCCACGUGUAGCAGUGAAAUGCGUAGAGAUGUGGAGGAAUACCGAUGGCGAAGGCAGCCCCCUGGGCCAAAUACUGACGCUCAUGCACGAAAGCGUGGGGAGCAAACAGGAUUAGAUACCCUGGUAGUUCACGCCCUAAACGAUGUCAACUAGUUGUUGGGGAUUCAUUUCCUUAGUAACGUAGCUAACGCGUGAAGUUGACCGCCUGGGGAGUACGGUCGCAAGAUUAAAACUUAAAGGAAUUGACGGGGUCAUAGCUGUUUCC
rnacentral:rRNA from 1 species